rnacentral:rRNA from 1 species
CCUACGGGAGGCUGCAGUGAGGAAUAUUGGUCAAUGGACGGAAGCCUGAACCAGCCAUGCCGCGUGCAGGAAGACGGCUCUAUGAGUUGUAAAUUGCUUUUGUACAAGGGUAAACCUGAAUACGUGUAUUCAGCUGAAAGUACUGUACGAAUAAGGAUCGGCUAACUCCGUGCCAGCAGCCGCGGUAAUACGGAGGAUCCAAGCGUUAUCCGGACUUAUUGGGUUUAAAGGGUGCGUAGGCGGAUUGAUAAGUUAGAGGUGAAAUGUCCGAGCUUAACUCGGGAACUGCCUCUAAUACUGUUGAUCUAGAGAGUAGAUGCGGUAGGCGGAAUGUAUGGUGUAGCGGUGAAAUGCUUAGAGAUCAUACAGAACACCGAUUGCGAAGGCAGCUUACCAAUCUAUAUCUGACGUUGAGGCACGAAAGCGUGGGGAGCAAACAGGAUUAGAUACCCUGGUAGUC